rnacentral:rRNA from 1 species
CCUACGGGAGGCAGCAGUGGGGAAUAUUGGGCAAUGGGUGCAAGCCUGACCCAGCAACGCCGCGUGAAGGAAGAAGGCUUUCGGGUUGUAAACUUCUUUUGUCAGGGACGAAGCAAGUGACGGUACCUGACGAAUAAGCCACGGCUAACUACGUGCCAGCAGCCGCGGUAAUACGUAGGUGGCAAGCGUUCUCCGGAUUUACUGGUGGUAAAGGGCGUGUAGGCGGGGAAGCAAGUCAGAUGUGAAACCCACGGGCUCAACCUGUGGACUGCAUUUGAAACUGUUUUUCUUGAGUACUGGAGAGGCAGACGGAAUUCCUAGUGUAGCGGUGAAAUGCGUAGAUAUUAGGAGGAACACCAGUGGCGAAGGCGGUCUGCUGGACAGCAACUGACGCUGAGGCGCGAAAGCGUGGGGAGCAAACAGGAUUAGAUACCCCUGUAGUC